rnacentral:rRNA from 1 species
CCUACGGGAGGCUGCAGUGAGGAAUAUUGGUCAAUGUGCGCGAGCCUGAACCAGCCAAGUAGCGUGAAGGAUGACUGCCCUACGGGUUGUACACUUCUUUUAUAAAGGAAUAAAGUGAGGCCCGUGUGCCUUUUUGUAUGUACUUUAUGAAUAAGGAUCGGCUAACUCCGUGCCCGCAGCCGCGGUAAUACGGAGGAUCCGAGCGUUAUCCGGAUUUAUUGGGUUUAAAGGGAGCGUAGUUGGGUUGUUAAGUCAGUUGUGAAAGUUUGCGGCUCAACCGUAAAAUUGCAAUUGAUACUGGCAGCAUUGAGUACAGUUGAGGUAGGCGGAAUUCGUGGUGUAGCGGUGAAAUGCUUAGAUAUCACGAAGAACUCCGAGUGCGAAGGCAGCUUACUAAACUGCCACUGACAUUGAUGCUCGAAAGUGUGGGUAUCAAACAGGAUUAGAUACCCCAGUAGUC